rnacentral:ncRNA from 1 species
UUCGUUAUAAUGAAAAUAGACUACUUUAAAAGUUUAUAAAGGAUAAAAGGGAAUUAAGUGCAAGUCUUAAGCUGUCCUAGCAACUGUAAAACUGACGAAUGUUAAUGAGCACCACUGAAUAACAUAUUUGGGAAGGAUUAACUAGUAGGAUGAAGUUAAGCCAGUAGACCGGCCUGAUAAAUUUAAUAAGA